CGACUUUCACUAUAUAUAUAUCAACUUUCAUUAUAUAUAUAUCAAGUUUCAUUAUAUAUAUAUAUCAACUUUCAUUAUAUAUAUAUCAAGUUUCAUUAUAUAUAUAUCGACUUUCAUUAUAUAUAUAUAUCAACUUUCAUUAUAUAUAUAUCAAAUCUUUUUUUCCUACCGAGCCCCGGAAGGGACAUGUCCGUAUGGCGAAGCGACAACGAAGGACACUCACCCGGACGAGAAUUUUAUUGAGUUUUAUUUUAAAAUCGGCCUGAAACACACAGACAUUCAAGCAGUGCGAUGCGCUAAGAGUCUGCCAUGCAGACCAGCGAUCCUGAUAAUGUUGUCGGCCUUGGAUGAUGAGGUCCAGUUACCAGGAGCACUAGUCUGCAGCUUACUGGUUCCGUCUUGCAGCUCCUCCACGCUGUCCUCCUCUCUACAGACCAAAUCAAGAAAAGGGAACCAGGAAGCUGCUGUGGAUCCUCUGCAGUAUCUGGAGAGGUCAGAGGAACGGUUCUUGGAACAGAUCGGAAGACACCAAGACGUGACCUCUGCCAUGCUCCAGAACAUCCAGAAGAUGAAUGAAAACCUUGGUUGCACUGAUGGGACGCAUGGUGUCGGUGCUGGAGCAACUGUCCCAGAAUUAAACUGCAUUGUUGACUAUUGGCUUUUCUAGAAAAUAAAUCUUUUUUAGUACUUCA